GACGGGGGGGGCAAGUGUUCUUCGGAAUGACUGGGCGUAAAGGGCACGUAGGCGGUGAAUCGGGUUGAAAGUGAAAGUCGCCAAAAAAGUGGCGGAAUGCUCUCGAAACCAAUUCACUUGAGUGAGACAGAGGAGAGUGGAAUUUCGUGUGUAGGGGUGAAAUCCGUAAAUAUACGAAGGAACGCCAAAAGCGAAGGCAGCUCUCUGGGUCCCUACC
rnacentral:rRNA from 1 species